rnacentral:ncRNA from 21 species
GCCCGUAACGGCAAUGGAUUUCUGCCGCCCGAGUGAUCGGGGAACCGCUUGGUAACGGCCAGGCUGAUGAUUCCUGUUUUCAC